CUUGAUGUUUUGUUACUAUAUUUUUCUUUUUCUGGUGUUCCUUUUUAUUUUCCUUUUCUUUGGUGUUCCCAUCACGUGGAUUGUCUACGACAUCUAACGAGCACCACAAGCCCCGGUUUAUUGUUCGGAGUUUGCUCUCCUAGGCAGACUGCCUACCACGGCUGACGAGCUCCACCUGCCCGGGUUUAUUGUUCGGAGUUUGCUCUCCUAGGCAGACUGCCUACCACGGCUGACGAGCUCCACCUGCCCGGGUUUAUUGUUCGGAGUUUGCUCUCCUAGGCAGAUUGCCCACCACGGCUGACGAGCUCCACCUGCCCGGGUUUUAUGCAUGGAGUUUGCUCUCCUAGGUGUAUUGCCUAUGACGACUCACGAGCCCAACCUGCCCGGGUUUAUUGUUCGGAGUUUGCUCUCCUAGGUGUAUUACCUAUGACGGCUCACGAGCCCAACCUGCCCGGGUUUAUUGUUCGGAGUUUGCUCUCCUAGGUGUAUUACCUAUGACGGCUCACGAGCCCAACCUGCCCGGGUUUAUUGUUCGGAGUUUGCUCUCCUAGGUGAAUUGCCUACCACGGCUAACGAACCUCACCUGCCCGGGUUUGUAAUCGGAGUUUGCUCUCCUAGGUGAACUGCUUUCGCUAACGACCUCCACCUGCCCGGGUUUGUAAUCGGAGUUUGCUCUCCUAGAUGAAUUGCUUUCGCUAACGACCUCCACCUGCCCGGGUUUGUAAUCGGAGUUUGCUCUCCUAGGUGUAUUACCUAUGACGGCUCACGAGCCCAACCUGCCCGGGUUUAUUGUUCGGAGUUUGCUCUCCUAGGUGAAUUGCCUACCACGGCUAACGAACCUCACCUGCCCGGGUUUGUUGUUCGGAGUUUGCUCUCCUAGG